rnacentral:rRNA from 1 species
UCUGGUUGAUCCUGCCGGACCUGACUGCUAUCGUAUUGGUACUAAGCCAUGCGAGUCGUUGUACAAUACAAGGCGGACUGCUCAGUAACACAUAGUUAACUUAACCUAUGGAUGGGAAUAAUCUCGGGAAACUGAGAAUAAUACCCAAUGGGCCACAGUGCCUGGAAUGGCCUGUGGUUGAAAUGAUUUAUCGCCGUAGGAUAGGACUGCGGCCUAUCAGCUUGUUGGUGAGGUAAUGGCCCACCAAGGCUAUAACAGGUACGGGCUCUGAGAGGAGGGGCCCGGAGAUGGGUACUGAGACACGGACCCAGGCCCUAUGGGGCGCAGCAGGCGAGAAACCUUUGCAAUGUGCGAAAGCACGACAAGGUUAAUCCGAGUGUCUCCUUGGCNUAANCAGGGGGGAAAAAAGGGUUUCCUUUUUAUGGUCCAGUNUGGUAGGAAUCCAACUGGGNUGACACUACAGGGGUUGGGGCACAGGUUUCCUGGNUUGUCAGGCCCGACGGCCGGUAAAAAACCAGCNACCCUCGAGUGGGNUCAGGAGGUAUUAUUGGGCCUUAAAAGCAUCCGUAAAGACCCCGGGUUUGCAUAACGGUUUUUACGGUUAAAUCUAUGCGCUUAACGUAUAGGCCGCCGAAAAUACUGUGCAGCUAGGGAGUGGAGAGGUACACGGUACUCGAUACGAAGGGGUAACAUCCU